rnacentral:rRNA from 1 species
UACGAAGGGGGCUAGCGUUGCUCGGAAUUACUGGGCGUAAAGCGCACGUAGGCGGCUUUCUAAGUCGGGGGUGAAAUCCUGGAGCUCAACUCCAGAACUGCCUUCGAUACUGGAAAGCUCGAGUCCGGGAGAGGUGAGUGGAACUGCGAGUGUAGAGGUGAAAUUCGUAGAUAUUCGCAAGAACACCAGUGGCGAAGGCGGCUCACUGGCCCGGUACUGACGCUGAGGCGCGAAAGCCAGGGGAGCAAACGGG